CAGGGAGACAACAAAAUGUUUAAUAUUAUUAUUUUGUCACCUUAGGUCGAUCGGUAUCUCACAUUCUUAAUUUAUUAAGAAUUUCAUUUCCUAAGUUUUUCUAGGUCACACCCAUUAUUUUCCUGGGCCAUUAGCUCAGGUGGUUAGAGCGCACCCCUGAUAAGGGUGAGGUCCCUGGUUCAAGUCCAGGAUGGCCCAUAUCUCUAUGUUGGGGGUAUAGCUCAGUUGGUAGAGCGCCUGCUUUGCAAGCAGGAUGUCAGCGGUUCGAGUCCGCUUACCUCCACUGAUUACCACCUCUUCCAUAUGUAUAAAAAGGAAAUUUUUUGAGUUUUGACCAAAUUCUGAACGAAUCUAGCUUCCUAAUGAAAUCAUUAAGAUGCUGGACUCAUUGAAUUAAUUUCAUUGUUUUCAGAGAACCUUGACAACUGCAUAGAUUAUUUUUAAAGACAAUAAGCGUCUUUAAUGAUGCAGAUUUAUUAUUUGUGCGAAUGCAUUAAUAACAAUUCUAUUAAGCUGAUGCUUCAAUUUUUGAAGUUAUU
rnacentral:tRNA from 1 species